GUAUCCAAGGCAGAGCGAAUAAGGUCUGCUACGCCAUCAAAGCUGUCAUUCAUGAAACCACCACCAAUGUCCAACAAGUCAAAAUUAAAUCCCCUUUCAAGUCCCUGAUCAAAUACCUGACGAGAUCGUUGGAUAGCAUCCAAAAAUGCUGAGGGAUCAUAGCUUCCUGACCCAACGUGAAAGCUAACACCGACGACAUUUAACUCCAGGGACUUUGCGAUGUCUAGCAGCUUACCAGUAUCAUCGAGAGAAGCACCAAACUUUAGACUGAGACGGCAAAGACUAUUGGAAUCAUCGGUAGAAAUACGAAGAAGAAGA